AGCUCUGCAGUAUAAGAUACGUGGGAUUGCAAAUCCCAAGAAGGAGAAUAGGCUUCCCCCGGGGCUU
rnacentral:tRNA from 3 species